rnacentral:misc_RNA from 1 species
CCCAGAACAACUAAUCUAGGCUUCAAUUGUAUAAAAUAUCCCCAAAAAAAGAGACCCUUUUUAUCAGUGAAUUUCACCGAGAACAAAAACCCAUCAGUCAAGCAUUGAUUCUGCAAGCAAAUACAAAGCCCCCCCCAAAAAAAAAACAAAAAGGGAGAAGUCCCCUACAGCAACUAACCCAAUUAAGGAAACAAAAUCCUCCACUAAGGUAAAUCUUACUUUCUCAAACCACAAGCUCAGGCAUAUAUAAUGAGAAAGCAAGACCAAGAGCCAUAGAUAUGUUGCCUAAAACACAAGUUAAAAGCUAGGAAUCUAGUAAGAUUUCUGGGAAACCAGUGCAGAGGAAAAC